rnacentral:rRNA from 1 species
AUUGAACGCUGGCGGCGUGCUUAACACAUGCAAGUCGAACGAAGCACUUUAAUCGAUUUCUUCGGAUUGAAAUUUUAGUGACUGAGUGGCGGACGGGUGAGUAACGCGUGGGUAACCUGCCUCACACAGGGGGAUAACAGUUGGAAACGGCUGCUAAUACCGCAUAAGCGCACAGUACCGCAUGGUACGGUGUGAAAAACUCCGGUGGUGUGAGAUGGACCCGCGUCUGAUUAGCUAGUUGGCAGGGCAGCGGCCUACCAAGGCGACGAUCAGUAGCCGACCUGAGAGGGUGACCGGCCACAUUGGGACUGAGACACGGCCCAAACUCCUACGGGAGGCAGCAGUGGGGAAUAUUGCACAAUGGGGGAAACCCUGAUGCAGCGACGCCGCGUGAGCGAAGAAGUAUUUCGGUAUGUAAAGCUCUAUCAGCAGGGAAGAAGAAAUGACGGUACCUGACUAAGAAGCACCGGCUAAAUACGUGCCAGCAGCCGCCGCCG